AUUGAACGCUGGCGGCAGGCCUAACACAUGCAAGUCGAACGAGUGGCGGACGGGUGAGUAAUGUCUGGGAAACUGCCUGAUGGAGGGGGAUAACUACUGGAAACGGUAGCUAAAACCGCAUACCAUCGGAUGUGCCCAGAUGGGAUUAGCUAGUAGGUGGGGUAAAGGGGCACCUAGGCGACGGUCCCUAGCUGGUCCGAGGGGAUGACCAGCGACACGGGAACUGAGACACGGUCCAGAGUCCUACGGGAGGCAGCAGUGGGGAGUGUGGCACAAUGGGCGCAAGCCUGAUGCAUCCAGGACGCGUGUAUGAAGAAGGCCUUCGGGUUUUAAAGUACUUUCAGCGGGGAGGCGUUACCCGCAGAAGAAGCACCGGCUAACUCCGUGCCAGCAGCCGCGGUAAUAC
rnacentral:rRNA from 1 species